CAAACUUUUACUAAGAUUCAAAGGCUUGAGUCUGCUGCCGUUUUUACAAUGUGAAGUUCAGCACAGAACCCACAGUGGUCAAAUGGACUCCAGAUAAGAACUGUCAAUCAACAGCCUGUUUCAUCUCCUGCCUGUUCAGCAUAGUCCUAAAGUAAAUAAGAAGAAGGGAUGUCUGUCAACCAAUGACCACCCACAUUCCAGAACCAGCCUGCUUUCAGCCUAUCAGUUCCAGAAGCCACAUCAUCACCAGCCACCAGAUGUGACACAUUUCUACUGUGGCCACAAGUUGUGUACCCUUAUCCAGCUCAGGUCUCCACAACCGCCUCUUUCUCUUCCAUACUCACUACCCACCCCCAUCAAUCUCUCACAUGAAGUCUGUUGUGUUGUGUGACCUUUGCAAAACCCCAUGGUUCUCUGAUCCAUGCAAGAACUCUAACAACCCCACAGGGUCAGCCCUGAAUGUUUCCCCAGCUGGGCAGGUGUCUGUUGGAGCAGGACCUAAAACUGCAAGAAGUCUGAGCAA